rnacentral:misc_RNA from 1 species
UCCGGUUUGGCACCGGCAGUCCCCCCAGAGUCCUCGGCGUGACCCGCUAGCAACUGGGGGCGGGGGUUGCGCUCGUUGCGGGACUUAACCCAACAUCUCACGACACGAGCUGACGACAGCCAUGCAGCACCUGUGCUGGGGCUCCGAAGAGGGGGCUACGUUUCUGUAGCCUUACUCCAGCAUGUCAAGCCCAGGUAAGGUUCUUCGCGUUGCGUCGAAUUAAACCACAUGCUCCACCGCUUGUGCGGGCCCCCGUCAAUUCCUUUGAGUUUCAGCCUUGCGGCCGUACUCCCCAGGCGGGGCACUUAAUGCGUUAGCGCCGGCACCCGGGGGGUCGCUCCCCCGGGCACCUAGUGCCCAUCGUUUACGGCGUGGACUAC